UCAGCCACUGGACGUAUAUCCUGCUCCACUCCACAGAUGUUAAAAGUGUUAACGGAACGACGUAGGGUUCUCAGUUCCUACCAUGUUGUCUUUGAUCCUACUUUGGCUGCCCUCUAUCUGAGUCCAAGCUAGACAUUGAUUCGGGCUCCUGGGAGAAGAAAGAAACCCGGCUUUUGACACCAAUGCUUUGGUUCUUAGAUGCUGAAGUUAUUGAAUAUUGUCAGCUGCCUCUUGAGUAGAAGGGUGAAAUGCCAAUGGAAUGUAUAUUGAGAUGAGGCUUAGGAAUGUGGUUUACAACAGUUUUGUUGGCUUAUUUAUUACUGUUUUGAUGUUUCUGUACAAUGAAAUUGAAGUUAUAAGAAGGGUCGAUUUGUCUUCGUGUACAGAGAAAUCUGUAAUGAAAAUACUUUU
rnacentral:lncRNA from 1 species